AAGCUGCUCCUAGUACGAGAGGACCGGAGUGGACGAACCUCUGGUGUUCCGGUUGUGACGCCAGUCGCAUUGCCGGGUAGCUACGUUCGGACGGGAUAACCGCUGAAAGCAUCUAAGCGGGAAGCCCCUCCCAAGACUAGUUCUCCCCGACCCCUUGAGGGUCCUUAAGAGCCGUCCAAGACUAGGACGUUGAUAGGCUGGGUGUGGAAGCGCUGUAAAGCGUUGAGCUAACCAGUACUAAUUGCUCGUGCGGCUUGACCAU
rnacentral:rRNA from 1 species